rnacentral:rRNA from 1 species
UACAGAGGGUGCAAGCGUUGUUCGGAAUUAUUGGGCGUAAAGGGCGCGUAGGCGGUGCCACAAGUCACCUGUGAAAGCCCCCGGCUCAACUGGGGAGGGUCAUUCGAUACUGAUCGACUCGAAGGCAGGAGAGGGUAGUGGAAUUCCCGGUGUAGUGGUGAAAUGCGUAGAUAUCGGGAGGAACACCAGUGGCGAAGGCGACUACCUGGCCUGUUCUUGACGCUGAGGCGCGAAAGCUAGGGGAGCAAACGGG